AGGCGGUGGCUGCGGGGUUGGUCUAGGCCUUGGAUGGGGCUUUGGCACUGGCUUUGGUAGUCAGUAUAGGUCAUCUAGGGUCACAUUCCAGGGCGUAGAAUUUGGUAGAAAGGAAGAAAGUGAUGGUGGUGAGUCUGAAGAUCUGUUGAAAAGCACAUGGGAAGGUCGUGCAUCACAGUAGCUAUUCACAUGGGAAGUUUCACAUUGGUAAAGAUGGCUGCAUUUCUUUGGGUGGAUUCAAAUGUAUCUGAAUUAUCCAGGCACCC
rnacentral:misc_RNA from 1 species